GGGGUUGUGGCUCAGCAGUAGAGCACUUGCCUACUGCAGAGGCAAGGCCCUGGGUUCAAUCCUCAGCACCACA
rnacentral:tRNA from 1 species